rnacentral:lncRNA from 1 species
CCCCUCGUUGCAGCUGGCCAGGUUAUGGAUCACCAUCAACGCUAUCCUCGCUGGCUUCGUGCCCUGCCCCAGAGUGGCCGCCUCUUCCUCCCUCUCCCUCGCGACCGCGAGCAGCGCGUGGACUGCUCCCGGGGCGCGCGCGAUCUUGGUCCGGUUGGCGGCGGCGAGGGAGAGGUGGUAGAGCGCCAUCCCUGCGUCGCGACGGGCGCGGGGGCCGUCGGCGGAGUGUCGGGCGAAUAGGUUAAGGAGCGGCGGGAUGGCGCCCAAGACGCCCAUCGUGGUGCGAUUCUCGUCCUGGAGGGCGAGGCCGAACAAAG